UGGGGCCUGCGGCGGUCGCCCCGUUUCCCAAGGCUUGCGAGCCCAAGCACCGU
rnacentral:ncRNA from 1 species